rnacentral:rRNA from 1 species
AACGCGAAGAACCUUACCAGGUCUUGACAUCCCUUGAACCCUCUGGAGACAGAGUUUUCCCCUUCGGGGGACAAGGUGACAGGUGGUGCAUGGUUGUCGUCAGCUCGUGUCGUGAGAUGUUGGGUUAAGUCCCGCAACGAGCGCAACCCUUGAUCUUAGUUGCCAGCAUUCAGUUGGGCACUCUAAGGUGACUGCCGGUGACAAACCGGAGGAAGGUGGGGAUGACGUCAAAUCAUCAUGCCCCUUAUGACCUGGGCUACACACGUGCUACAAUGGAUGGUACAAAGGGCUGCAAACCCGUGAGGGGGAGCCAAUCCCAAAAAGCCGGUCUCAGUUCGGAUCGGGGUCUGCAACUCGACCCCGUGAAGUCGGAGUCGCUAGUAAUCGCGGAUCAGCAAUGCCGCGGUGAAUACGUUCCCGGGCCUUGUACACACCG